rnacentral:antisense_RNA from 1 species
CUUCAACGACCCCAGCAGCACCGGACGGUCCGCGGAACGCCCCUGGCCAUAGGUGGCGAGCAGCGCUCCCACCUC